UCCCCGCCAAAAAGGGGGGGCACCUGAUCCGCCAUGCCGCGUGUGUGAAGAAGGCUUUCGGGUUGUAAAGCACUUUCAGUGAGGAGGAAAAGUUGGUCGUUAAUACCGGCCAGCCUUGACGUUACUCACAGAAGAAGCACCGGCUAACUCCGUGCCAGCAGCCGCGGUAAUACGGAGGGUGCAAGCGUUAAUCGGAAUUACUGGGCGUAAAGCGCGCGUAGGUGGUUUGAUAAGCGAGAUGUGAAAGCCCCGGGCUUAACCUGGGAACGGCAUUUCGAACUGUCAGGCUAGAGUAUGGUAGAGGAGUGUGGAAUUUCCUGUGUAGCGGUGAAAUGCGUACAUAUAGGAAGGAACACCAGUGGCGAAGGCGGCACUCUGGACCAAUACUGACACUGAGGUGCGAAAGCGUGGGGAGCAAACCGGAUUAGAUACCCCUGGAGUCAGAUGUCU
rnacentral:rRNA from 1 species